GACUAACGCUGGCGGCGUGCCUAACACAUGCAAGUCGAACGAGUUGUAUAUAGUAGCAAUAUUGUAUACGGCAAGUGGCGAACGGGUGAGUAACACGUAGAUAAUCUGCCUUUCAGACGGGGACAACUCAGGGAAACUUGUGCUAAUACCCGAUGAGACUACGAGGGGGGACUUUCGUAGCCAAAGGUGGGGGCAACCUCACGCUGAAAGAUGAGUCUGCGUCCUAUCAGCUAGUUGGUGGGGUAAAAGCCUACCAAGGCGAAGACGGGUAGCCGGCCUGAGAGGGUGAACGGCCACACUGGGACUGAGACACGGCCCAGACUCCUACGGGAGGCAGGCAGUGAGGAAUUUCCGCAAUGGGCGCAAGCCUGACGGAGCGACGCCGCGUGAGGGAUGACGGCCUUCGGUUGUAAACCUCUUUAUUAGGUAAAAGAACAUUUAGUGCUAAUACCACGGACUGUUGUAUUGUACUGUUGAAUAAGUCCCCGGCGUAACUACGUGCCAGCAGCCGCGUAAAACG
rnacentral:rRNA from 1 species